rnacentral:rRNA from 1 species
UACAGAGGUGGCAAGCGUUGUUCGGAAUUACUGGGCGUAAAGGGCGAGUAGGUGGCCAUCUAAGUCAGACGUGAAAUCCCUCGGCUUAACCGGGGAACUGCGUCUGAUACUGGAUGGCUUGAGUUUGGGAGAGGGAUGCGGAAUUCCAGGUGUAGCGGUGAAAUGCGUAGAUAUCUGGAGGAACACCGGUGGCGAAGGCGGCAUCCUGGACCAACACUGACGCUGAGUGAGCGAAAGCCAGGGGAGCAAACAGG